rnacentral:rRNA from 1 species
CGGGUGAGUAACGCGUGAGAAUCUGCCUUCGGGUUGGGGACAACCACUGGAAACGGUGGCUAAUACCCAAUGCGCCGCAACGUGAAAGAUUUAUCGCCCGAAGAUGAGCUCGCGUCUGAUUAGCUAGUUGGUGGGGUAAAGGCUCACCAAGGCAUCGAUCAGUAGCUGGUCUGAGAGGAUGACCAGCCACACUGGGACUGAGACACGGCCCAGACUCCUACGGGAGGCAGCAGUGGGGAAUUUUCCGCAAUGGGCGAAAGCCUGACGGAGCAAGACCGCGUGAGGGAGGAAGGCCCUUGGGCUGUAAACCUCUUUUGUCAGGGAAGAACACAAUGACGGUACCUGACGAAUCAGCCUCGGCUAACUCCGUGCCAGCAGCCGCGGUAAUACGGAGGAGGCAAGCGUUAUCCGGAAUUAUUGGGCGUAAAGCGUCCGCAGGUGGCUUAUCAAGUCUGCCGUCAAAGACCGGGGCUUAACCCUGGAAAGGCGGUGGAAACUGACAAGCUAGAGUGCCGUAGGGGUAGAGGGAAUUCCCGGUGUAGCGGUGAAAUGCGUAGAGCUCGGGAAGAACAUCGGUGGCGAAAGCGCUCUACUGGACGGCAACUGACACUCAGGGACGAAAGCUAGGGGAGCGAAUGGGAUUAGAUACCCCAGUAGUCCUAGCCGUAAACGAUGGAUACUAG